CCUCCAUCCUCCCCGCACAGGAGGAUGGAACGAGGUACCCGACGCUCUCUGCCCUGACUGCGUCGAGACCUCCCACACGGCCGAGGGACCGCACACCCCCGGCCGGAGCAAACUCCGGGCUGCGGUGCCGGGCGGGCUGAGGGUCCCGCCGGGCGC
rnacentral:ncRNA from 24 species